GCUAGGACGAACGCUGGCGGCGUGCCUAACACAUGCAAGUCGAACGGAACUGUUUGAUUGAUUCUCGGAUGAAAGAUUUCAGUUAGUGGCGGACGGGUGAGUAACGCGUGAGUAACCUGCCUCUGAGAGGGGAAUAACGUUCUGAAAAGAACGCUAAUACCGCAUAACACAUAAUUACCGCAUGGUAAAUAUGUCAAAGAUUUUAUCGCUCAGAGAUGGACUCGCGUCCGAUUAGUUAGUUGGUGAGGUAACGGCUCACCAAGACCGCGAUCGGUAGCCGGACUGAGAGGUUGAACGGCCACAUUGGGACUGAGACACGGCCCAGACUCCUACGGGAGGCAGCAGUGGGGGAUAUUGCGCAAUGGGGGCAACCCUGACGCCAGCAACGCCGCGUGAAGGAUGAAGGUUUUCGGAUUGUAAACUUCUUUUAUCAGGGACGAAAAUUGACGGUACCUGAUGAAUAAGCUCCGGCUAACUACGUGCCAGCAGCAGC
rnacentral:rRNA from 1 species